AACGAACGCUGGCGGCAGGCCUAACACAUGCAAGUCGAGCGCCCCCUUUCUAGAGGUCAGAUUUCAGAUGCCAGAUGUCAGAAGCGCUGUGCGUGGAUCACGCGCGGUGCGUUUUGUCAUCUGAUAUCUGUCAUCUGACCUCUGAUGGGGGAGCGGCGGACGGGUAAGUAACGCGUGGGAAUUUUCCUCAAGGUAGGGAACAACUCAGGGAAACUUGGGCUAAUACCCU
rnacentral:rRNA from 1 species